CAGUCAUACCAACGGGAAAUCAACCUUUUGAGUUUGGUCUUGUGGAUUUCGGAGAGUUUAAAAGCCCUCGGAUUCGUUAGGAUUGGGAUCUCUUGGUGUACUUUUUCGUACGGUUAGUCAACAUCGGUUUUGAAUGUCAUAAAAUGACUGGAGGAAUGUAGCUUCGAUCUCGUAUUGAAGUGUUAUAGCCUUUGGUAGAUGUGAUGUUUGAGACCGAGGAUUG
rnacentral:rRNA from 1 species